rnacentral:rRNA from 1 species
UACAGAGGGUGCAAGCGUUGUUCGGAAUUAUUGGGCGUAAAGGGCGCGUAGGCGGUGCGGUAAGUCUGUAGUGAAAUCUCUGGGCUCAACUCAGAGUCUGCUGCAGAAACUGCCGUGCUUGAGUGUGGGAGAGGUGAGUGGAAUUUCCGGUGUAGCGGUGAAAUGCGUAGAUAUCGGGAGGAACACCUGUGGCGAAAGCGGCUCACUGGACCACAACUGACGCUGAGGCGCGAAAGCUAGGGGAGCAAACAGG